CCCACCUUCCCAAGUUGCUCUCUGCUCAACUCUUCUCCCGAAGUGAAAGUCCCAAGUCCACGUAGACAUAACACUUUAUCAAUCUUUGGCCUAUGACACUGAAGACUGCAAUCAAAGGGACUUCAAUGUAGACAACACUGAGCCUGCAAACAAAGCACAGGGAUUGUGGGUCAGCAGAGAAGCCAGCAGCUGGAGGGAGGAUGAUACCAGUAACACACAGCCCAAAGCAAAGAUGCCAACAGCUGGAGCAAGGAUGUUGGUGAGCAGUGGCCUGAAACAAGAAUGCCAGCAAACAGCAGCCAGAGUGGGAUUGCCAGUAGCCCAAUGCGGAGCCAGUACCCUGUGGUCAGACCACAAGGAGGCCCCCUGCGCUGCGUCUGUCGCAGAAAGCUUUUAGAGAGAGACUGUGAUGUUUAUCAUUUUAACUUUUCUUGUUUUCUGACUCAUGGUUAUGCUGUGUAUAGCUGUAAUGUAAGCUUUUUCUUCAAUUCUCUACUGUGUAACUAAGGAUUGUAUCAAGGUACCUUUGUACCUAAGGUGGGGCAAUA